GGUGAAAAUUGUUUGUUUCCAGGUUCGGCCUUGAAGUCGGUCUUCCCUUCCAUUCCCUUCCGCUUCGAUUUUCUUUUCCAGCGUUGCGAGCCCGAGCUCUAGUGGACGAGGAAUGUUGCAACCAAGUCUUGAGUCUUGAGCUCGUAGCUUGUUUCUAGGUUCCAUGUUCUUGGAGAUUUUAUUGGAUUGUUGAAUUGCCGAAUUCAAGGCCGUACCCGGAAACAAACGAAUUCUGUCACU